GCGGUGGUCGGAGGGAGCCCGGCGUCCGGAGGGCCUGCGGGUUCGCGGGCUGUGCUGGCCUCGGUGCGGUGGUCGUGGGCUUGCAGCCGCGCAGUGCCCGGGGCUUGGACUUUCUGGAACAUGGCCAGCCCGUGUUCAACCCCGGACAUCCACAAUAAAGGCAAGAAAAGAUUGCAGGCUUGCUAUGCCACGGACACUUGACAAUGACCAUGAAAUAAUCCGAGGCCCAUGGAUAAAGCCACUUUAAAAAUCUUGGCCUAUAGUUUCUGUAGCAAUAGCAAUAAAGCUACAUCUUUGUAGUGAGAAGAGAUGGGCUGCAAUGUUUUUUCAUUGAUGAUUCAAGAUGAUUCUUCUGAGGAAAAGCAAUUUUAAAGGCUAAUUUUCUAAAUGUAUUUUUCGAACAUCCACUUUCCAUUACUUUUAGUGUUGAAAUUCUUAAAUAUAUAUUCUUUGAAAAUAAGUGAAUUUUUUGAAACAUCAGUUUGUUACUCAUUUAAGGAACCUAAGGAAUAUUGUUUCUCUGGAGACUUUCAUAAAUUGGUCUUGGAAUAUAAUUUUUUUUAUUGGUCAGGUUUCAUUUGUAAUAGGUGUUUUUCCAUUUCAAGAUGAUAUGUUUUUUUUUUAUGAGAGAAAUGUUUUGUUUUGUUUUUUCACUUCAUACAAACCUUUUAUCAAAAGAUGGCCUAAUGAAUAGUAAAAAGAUUUGUCGUGUGAAAAAGUUCAGGUUUUAAUAAGAAUGUCUCAGUGGUAUUUCAAUUAUAACUAAAAUAUCUGUACUCACUAUACUGGCUUCAUAGUGUCCUGCGUAGUCACCAUUAAUGACAUUCCUUAUGAUUCACUGAAGAAGACUGACAUUUAUACUGGGUGAAUCCUCCUGUUGAAUGGUAGGAUGAUAUUACAUCAGACUUAGGGAUUUGUGUAUAUAAAUAGUAAUGUGACGUAUUUGGUAGUGAGGCUUAGAAUGGAUACUUUGAAUAUGGAUACUAUUUAUGACUGCUUCCCUUAUAACUGUAUGUUGUGUUUACUUCAUCUCUGUGAUCCUAAGCCAAGUAAGUAUAUGACGAAUCCAUGUUAAUAUUUCAGUUUAUCUUUUCCAAAUAAUUAUUUUUUCAAUAUAUAAAUUAUAUAUUCUUAUGUAUAAAUUAAAAAUACCUGUGAAUUUCAUAAAAAUUUAAAAUGUCCUUCAAAAGAUAGAAACCAAGAAAGUGAAGUAAAACAAAUCACAGCCUAGAAGAAAAUAUUUGUAGAUCAGGUAAGUACGGGACUCAUAUCCAAAAUAUGCAAAGAACUCUUACAGCUCAGUAGUAAGAAGAUAGGUAACCCGUUUAAAAAGUGGACAAAUGACUUGACUAGGUAUUUCUCCGAAGAAAGUGUCUGAAUGACCAGAGUCAGUAUGUGACAAUGUGCUCAACCUCAUUAGUCAUCAGGAAAAUGUAGACUAAAACCACAGUGAGAAGCUUUACACUCACAUUUUAGAAAUACCUAAAAUCAAAAGGCAAUGAAAAGAUUUGGUGAGGAUUUGUAGAAAUUGAAACCCUAAUACAGUGCUGGUUAGAAUGUAAAAUUGUACUGUUCACUUUUGAGAGCAGUUUGAUAGUUGCUCAAAAUUUCAGAAAUAGGAUUACCAUAUGACCCCAUAAUUCUGCUCUUGGGUUUGCAUGCAAGAGAAUUUUAAAAAUAUGCCCAUGCAGAGACUUUAACACAGAUAUUUUUAGCAGCAUUGUUUAUAAUAGCAACAAAGGGGAAAAGAAGAAGAUAUGUAGAUAGAAAAUAAGCAUAUGAAGAGAUGUUCCACAUUAGCUCUCAGGGAAAUGCAAAUUAGAACCACAGUGAGAUACUACUAUGCGCCUACUAGAAUGGUACAAUUAGAAAAACAAUCAUGGUAAUCCCAAAUAUUGGUAAGGAUGGGGAGAAUCUGGAUUACUCCUACAUUGCUGAGAAAAACAGAAAAUGGAACAACCACUCUGGAAAGCAAGGUGGCAGUUUCUUAAAUAAAUAAAUAAACAUGUGACCAGGCUAUGACCCAGCAAUUAUCCUCCUGGGCAUUUAUCUCAAAUAAAUGAAGACCUAUAUUCAAUUUAAAAACCUAUAUAUUUACAUUUAUAGCAGCUUUAUUCACAGCAGCACCAAAUUGGAAAAAAAAAAAAAAGACAACCCAAAUGUUCAAUAACCUCAAGCAAACUAAUGUAUACAUACCAUGGAAUACAAUUCAGCAAUAAAAGUAACAAACUAUCAAUACCAACCACAACCUAGAUGAAUCUCCAGGGAAUUUUACUAUGUCUGAAAAGCCAGUCCCCAAAGCAUACUGACCAUAUGUGUCCAUUUUUAAACAAUUCUUAGAAGGAGCACAUUAUAGAGAUGGGGGAGAGAUUAGUGGUCAGUGGAGGGUCAGAGUGCCAGGGAUUGGGAAGAGGUGUGGCUAUGAAAGGUCAAUGAGCAGCAUUGUGCUGAUGAAGUUCUGUAUCGGUGCCAGGUGCAUCAGUGCCAACAGCCUGGCUGUAGUCCUGUGCUAUGGUUUUGCAAGCUAUUACCACUAGAUGAAACUGGAUAAAGUGUGUGAGACAUGUCUCCACAUUAUUUCUUACAAGUAAAUGCAAAUCUAUAAUUAUCUCAAAAUAAAAGUGUUAAUCAAAAAUCCUGCAAAAAUAGAAUAAAGAAUUUUCAUAACCCCUUCACCUGGAUUCCUCAAAUGUCAGCAUUUUACUACUUUGCCUUAUAACCUAGAGCUACACUGUGUGUGUGUGUGUGUGUGUGUGUGUGUGUGUAUACAUAUAUUUAUUUUCUCAAAUGAUUGACAGUAAGUUGUAGAAAUGAUGCCAUUUCGCUUAUAAAUAUUUCAAUGUGUAUUUUCUAAGAAACGAUAUUUUCAUAUAACCAGAUUACAAAUAACAAAACCAGGAAAUUAACAACAAUAACACUUUAGCUUUAAUCAACAUAUCUUCUUAGAUUCUUCUGUUUGGCCCACCAAUGUCCUUUCUUGGUCUGGGAUUCAAUCUAGAAUUCUGCAUUGCAUUUAUUUGUUGAGUCUUUUAGUGUCCUUUAAUCUGAAGAGUUCUUCAGUAUUUGUUUUUCAUGACCUUGCUGUUUUUGAAGAGUGAUGGCAGGACAGAGAAUAUCCCUGUUUAGGUUUGAUGGUGUUUCCUCAUAAUUAGCUUCAGGUUAUGCAUCUUGGCAGGAAUACUAUAGAAGUAAUGUUGUGUUCUUUUUAAUCUAUACCCUGAGGAAGAUUUGCCCCCUUGAUUGAGGAAAUGUUUGCCGGCUUCUGUACUAUAAAGUUACAGUUUUUUUCCCUUUUUAAUAAAUGUGUAUGUUAUAGGGUGAUACUUUGAAACCAUGCAAAUAUCCAGGAAGACCCAUUUGAAAGAUGAGGAGUGAUUGGUUAUUUAUGAGAAUUCUGUGGGGAGACAUUCCAGGAGGAUGGAAAUGGCAUGUGGGAAGUCCCUAAAGCAAAGAGUCUUGAGCUCUCUGAGAAGAGAACAAUCCCAUUGCAAUUGGGGUAGAGAGAGAGAACAAGAUGAAUGGGAGUGGUUGGCAGGUACUGUACCAUGAAGGGCCUCAAGGCUGUGCUGAGUAUUUUUUACAUUUUAAGCUUUAAUACCCAGGUAGUGGGAAAGCCUUCCAAGUUCUUAAACAGAUGAGUGAGAUGCCCAAAAGUGUGUUGUAGAAAGAUCGCUCAGACUGUAUCAGGAAUAGAUUGGAGGUAGACAAGAGACUUACAUUUUAUAUUCGAGCCUUAUAUCUAUUUGCAAUUUAUUUUUGGUACACGGUAUAUUUUAGGUACCCAGUUCUUUUACUUUACAGAUGAUUAAUUUUCUCAGUAUCAUUUGAAAAAAUAGCCUUUAAAAUUAUAUAAUAAAAGAAUAUAUAUUUAUUCCUUCAAAAAUUAUAUAUUGAGUACCUAUGACGUUUCUGGGAGCACUCUAGAGAAUGGGUUACAGGCAGAAAUUCCUGCCCUUGUGGAGUCACAUCCUAUAAUAUUUAUUUUAGAGUAAUUAGAUAAUACAGAUAAGUAUUUGGAAUUUUCUUCCAGGUAUCAUCAAUGUAUACAAUUGUACAUAUUUUUGUAUAUGUUUAUGUAGGUUUUUUAAAAAGCCUAUAAUCCCACA